AGUGAACGCUGGCGGUAGGCCUAACACAUGCGAGUCGAACGGCAGCACAGUAAGAGCUUGCUCUUACGGGUGGCGAGUGGCGGACGGGUGAGGAAUACAUCGGAAUCUACUUUUUCGUGGGGGAUAACGUAGGGAAACUUACGCUAAUACCGCAUACGACCUACGGGUGAAAGAAGGGGAUCUUCGGACCUUGCGCGAUUGAAUGAGCCGAUGUCGGAUUAGCUAGUUGGCGGGGUAAAGGCCCACCAAGGCGACGAUCCGUAGCUGGUCUGAGAGGAUGAUCGGCCACACUGGAACUGAGACACGGUCCAUACUCCUACGGGAGGCAGCAGUGGGGAAUAUUGGACAAUGGGCGCAAGCCUGAUCCAGCCAUACCGCGUGGGUGAAGAAGGCCUUCGGGUUGUAAAGCCCUUUUGUUGGGAAAGAAAAGCAGCCGCUUAAUACCCCGCUGUUCUGACGGUACCCAAAGAAUAAGCACCGGCUAACUUCGUG
rnacentral:rRNA from 1 species